CUAACACAUGCAAGCCGAGCGGUAGAGAUCUUUCGGGAUCUUGAGAGCGGCGUACGGGUGCGGAACACGUGUGCAACCUGCCUUUAUCUGGGGGAUAGCCUUUCGAAAGGAAGAUUAAUACCCCAUAAUAUGUUGGAUGGCAUCAUUCGACAUUGAAAACUCCGGUGGAUAGAGAUGGGCACGCGCAAGAUUAGAUAGUUGGUGAGGUAACGGCUCACCAAGUCUGCGAUCUUUAGGGGGCCUGAGAGGGUGAUCCCCCACACUGGUACUGAGACACGGACCAGACUCCUACGGGAGGCAGCAGUGAGGAAUAUUGGACAAUGGGUGAGAGCCUGAUCCAGCCAUCCCGCGUGAAGGACGACCGCCCUAUGGGUUGUAAACUUCUUUUGUAUUGGGAUA
rnacentral:rRNA from 1 species